UGCGGAGGGAUCAUUACUGAGUGAGGGUGCAAGCCCGACCUCCAACCCCAUGUAUACCAUACCAUGUUGCCUCGGGGGCGACCCGGCCUUUGCGCCGGGGCCCCCGGCGGACCACUCAACUCUGCAUCUUUGCGUCUGAGUAUUGAAUUGAAUCAAUCAAAACUUUCAACAACGGAUCUCUUGGUUCUGGCAUCGAUGAAGAACGCAGCGAAAUGCGAUAAGUAAUGUGAAUUGCAGAAUUCAGUGAAUCAUCGAAUCUUUGAACGCACAUUGCGCCCCCUGGUAUUCCGGGGGGCAUGCCUGUUCGAGCGUCAUUACACCACUCAAGCCUCGCUUGGUAUUGGGCGCCGCGGCCUCCGCGCGCCUAAAUGUCUCCGGCCGAGCCUACCGUCUCUAAGCGUUGUGGAAUACAUUUUCGCUUGCGGGAUCGGGAGGCGUCGUGCCGUUAAACAUCCACACCAAAGGUUGACCUCGGAUCAGGUAGGGAUACCCGCUGAACUUAAGCAUAUCAAUAAGCGGAGGAAAAGAAACCAACAGGGAUUGCCCUAGUAACGGCGAGUGAAGCGGCAACAGCUCAAAUUUGAAAUCUGGCGCAAGCCCGAGUUGUAAUUUGUAGAGGAUGCUUCAGGGCAGCGGCCGGUCUAAGUUCCUUGGAACAGGACGUCAUAGAGGGUGAGAAUCCCGUAUGCGACCGGUUGGCACCCGUCACGUAGCUCCUUCGACGAGUCGAGUUGUUUGGGAAUGCAGCUCUAAAUGGGAGGUAAAUUUCUUCUAAAGCUAAAUACCGGCCAGAGACCGAUAGCGCACAAGUAGAGUGAUCGAAAGAUGAAAAGCACUUUGGAAAGAGAGUUAAAAAGCACGUGAAAUUGUUGAAAGGGAAGCGCAUGCAACCAGACUUGUCGGCGGUGUUCCGCCGGUCUUUUGACCGGUUCAUUCGCCGCCGGCAGGCCAGCAUCAUCUGGGAGCGCCGGAUAAAGGCGUAGGGAAUGUGGCUCCUCGGAGUGUUAUAGCCCUUCGCACAAUACGGCGCCUCCCGGGUGAGGUCCGCGCU
rnacentral:rRNA from 1 species